AUGCUUUGUCGGUUGCUGUCUCCCACAGGGAUGGGGAAGCCGUCUCUCUCAACGCCCUGGCUGGUGCUGGUGCUGCUGGGAGGUCACAUGAUCGCGGCAUCGCCAACGAAAGGGACUGAUGCAGAUGGAUGUGCUCUGUGUUCAUCUGGUUUCCAUCGAUCCGGCUGCAGUGAGUGCCACGCCUGUAAAGAAGGCUCCUUCACUCCGAGCUGGAACACCGAAGAGACCUGUUUCUCGUGUUCCCGGGACUGUAGACCCGAGUUCAACCUGGAGAUCGUGAAGCCCUGCACCAAAGUCUCAGACCUGGUAUGUCGGUGUCGGGCAGGUUAUCGCUGUGUAGAAGACAUUGUCCUUACAGGUCACUGCACGAACUGCAUCAGGAUCGCCACUCCGCCUCAGCACAUCACAGAGGCCCGACCGCCCACUUCCUGUCCCGCUGGUACGUUCCUGAACUCGUCCUCCAGGAACUGUGACCCCCACACAAACUGCGCAGCUCUGGGGAAGCAGGUGGAGGUCAUGGGCAACUCCACAGCAGACACCGUGUGUGGCACCAGUGCCAGUCCCAUCAAGAGCCCAGACGUCAAUGUGUUUGUCCUGGUUGGUGUGCUGGGCGCUCUGGGGUUUGUGGCUGGCCUGUUGCUGAAGAAAACCAGGGAGGCGUUGUCUAUAAAACAAGCCUUCAAACUCUGCUCUCCAGGUGUGGAAAAGGCAGACUGCAGUACUGCGAAGCACAAAGAGAGCCGGAAAGCUGGCCAGCUCCUCUCCAACGGGGUAGAUCUGCUGACCAACAACGUGCCUGAGAGACGGCAAGAGACGGCCCCGCCCACGACCCGAACCCAGGACACGGAUUGGAUGGGAGGAGCCACUCACGGCGGAGAGAAGGUCAACCCACCAAUCACCAUGACUCCUGUAGAACCACACGCUACUGGGAACUUAGGACCCUUCCACAUCUACAGCCCUGGCACGGUGUUUGUGGGCCUGCUCAACCAGAUGUCCGCCCCUCCUCCUCCUCCUCCUCCUCCGGCGGCUCCGAGCUCUCCAGAGCCCCGGGAGACGGGGUCGGGGGCACCCGCCCGUCCCCCCUCGGGGGCGGCGCCCGUGCCCCUGUCCCAGGAGGAGUGGGGCGGGCACCCGCCUCGCCAGGAGCAGGGGAAAGACAGCCACCUGUCGCACGAGGAAAAGGACGACGCUCAGUAGCCCGGCAGGCGGCGACUGCAGAGGCAGGGCAGGGUCGUGUGGCACUGCAGAACACUUGGGCAGGAACGAUACAGUCACCCAGCAGGACAAGAACCCUCCAGUGCGGUGCGACACUCUUCUGCUGUGUGUACUGUGUACAGUGUGAUAUACAGCAGCAGUAAGGUUUGACACAGCAUAGCACAGCCCAGGAGUGCUGGAGCAGGACAAUGCCACAGAGGCUGCAGUGCAGUGCAUUGUGCUACAAUAGUAUCAUACAGUGCCGUGUAACACAGUAUAAUAGUGUAAAGUGGUGCUGCAGAAUUCUGUACAGUAUAAUACUGGGAUUAUCUGAAUACUCUGGUGGGCUAUGGAGAGGUAGGUGGUGCUCUCUGCAGAGGCGAGAGUCCAGGACUGAGGAAUUGAAGGCUGGUGGUGUAGUAUGAGAGCUGUCCUCCAGCUGCUCGUGAGACACCCUACUAUCAGCUAGACUCACACUGCUGCCCUGCCCGAAGUGAGACACUCUUACCAGCCCCUAGACUCUCACUGAGGCCUGCCCGGAGUCAGACCUGUCCUCUCUCACACUGCGGACUGUCCUCUCUCACACUGCGGCCUGUCCUCUCUCACUCCGGCCUGUCCUCUCUCACACUGCGGCCUGUCCUCUCUCUCACUCCGGCCUGUCCUCUCUCAC
ensembl:lincRNA